ACAUUGCCAAAGUAAGUGAAAUAGAUAAUAAACAAACGUGAAAUAAACAAUACAAAAUUAACAGUAAACAUUACACUCACAAAAGUUCCAAACUAAUAAAGACAUUUCAAAUGUAUUUUUAUCUUGUUGGCAUCUGUCUCUCCAAUGCACGUGUAGCGUGGUUCGUUCUGCGUUGUGUACUUUUAAUUAGGACACUGCCACAACUGGAGGUCUGCUGGUUGAAUUAUUUUUAUUUGCCCUGCACACGAAGAAACAACACACAAUACUUUAGCCCUUGGCGCAGUCACAGCUCUCCGGCACCUGCGCAAGCACAUGGACACUCACUCAACCACUGUCCCAAGUACUCACAUGUUAACAUAGGUAUCCUAGUUAACGAGCUCGGGGAAACUUGUUAACAGAAAUCUUUAUAUUAUCCACAUUGUAACAAACUUAUGGUAGCAUAACAGUACAUUGUGUAACAUUACCACGGUUUUAUAUUGAACAAUUUCGGAGCCAAGGACAACAUACCUUGCUAUGCCGAAGGUCAGGCAAAAGAGAACAAUGAGGGGGUACGGAUAUACAGAUAACCCGCGAUGGGCCAAACCAAAAUAUACAAAACUUUUACAAUCACAUGUAUGUACAAUAUUGAUAUGAAAAAGUGUUUGUACACCAAAUAAUAACAUUAGCUAUGCAGCUGUAAUUAAAUAAAAAAACACACUGAAUUAUUAUUAUUUUUAUCGAAUUAUUAACAUCCCCUCUUGACCUGGCCUAUUUGAAUUGGUCCUUGUGUGCAAUUUAGUACCUAAUCUAGGGGAACAACAUCACACUGCUACACACGGACAACACUGCUGACAACCUGCGCUCAUCCAGUCUCCAGCUCAGGCCGUUACCUUAGGACCCCGACACUCCAGUCAAGCCCCAGGGGAAAAAGAUGAGAGGGCAAGAGGGUAUGUCACUUCUUGAGAUGCAAAACAAUAUUGUGAUGGUUUUGACAGCAAAGAUAGAUGAAAGGGCAGAUGUCUUGGAGGACAUGGUUAGGAGGAAUACGAUGAGGCCAUAAAAACAUCUGUUGGCUUUAUCUCUGGAGAAGUGAAAACCCUCAAAAGUGGUAUGAAGAAGGUGGAAGUUAUCUGCCAGGAAAAUGAAAAGAAGAUGGCUGAACUCAAGCAAAAGGUGAAUGAGGAGGAGAGAUACCAGCGCAGGUGGAACUUGAGGCUCCAUGGAAUUCCAGAGCAGGCGGGUGAGGACAUCAAAUGCAGAGUUGUUGACAUCUGUGGAGCUGUCAUUCCCGAAUCAAAAGCCACACUUCAGAAAAAUGUGGACAUUGUUCAUCGUUUCGGAAGACUCAAGGAGCAAGACAAGAGACCAAGGACAACCAUCAUCCGGUUCACCAACAGAUCUACACGUGAGUUCUUCAUCAAGCACAAAUUGAGAUUCACGGAGGAUCUGAUCUCUGCGGACAAAGUGACACGGGAGAAACUGUGACCGAUGGUGGCUGCAGCUCCAAAGGCAGGGAAAACUGCAUUUUUUUUGUCAGUGCACGAGUGAUGAUCAUCGAUGGUAAAGAAAUGUGGCCAAAUCAAAACAUUUGAGAGACAGCCAGAGUCUAACUCAGCCAGAACUGGCAGGCCUAAACACUGCCUAAUUGCCAGGUGAAAAUCAGCCUUUUAUUGUAAAGAAUUUACACAAACACUUGAAUGAGAAAAGGCUGACCUGAAAACUGGUGGACAGCAGGCUGUUCCCCGCUAUCGCUUCAGGAAGAGAGACAAGGUGCUCUUCUACGGCAGGAAGAUAAUGAGGAAGGUCCAGACCCUAGACCCUGUCCUCCCCUCUGUCCUCUACCUCGAGUGUCCAAGCAGUGCCCUCGGAAGAGACCCAAAGUCCUGAGUAUAGCUCGCAGGAUCCUGCGUAUCCGUAAGGAGCUCCCCACCCUUCAGCCCAAGGAGCCCCCUCCAUCCCACCUGGAGGCCGACCUGACUGAGUUUGACGUGCAGAACUCCACACUCCACUCUCACACACCAGUAGCAGUGUGUGUGUUGUCUGUGUAACUCUAUGUUAUCUCCCUCUGCUCUCAGGGUGCUUGGCCACUUUGAAAAGUUCCUGGAGCUGUGUUGUCACAUGGUCUUGUGGAGUUACAUGAAGGGGAGGGGCUGUUCCGGCUGGGAGAUGAUUACAAUAGCAUCUACGUGGUCCACGACGGAUGUCUGGAACACUGCAUCCACGAAGAUGGAAGAACAGGCUAGAAUCCCCGCUGGGAAUACACCAUGAAACCCAGUGUACACACGCUCAGAGCUAGCCUUAACCCUAACACCAGCAUCCACUGACAUUUUUGCUUAGUCAAUAUCAUAGAUGUAUUUUUAUGAGUCACUCCGUGCACCUAGGGGAAUUUAGCUUUCUGUGUGUGGUACAGGAUGGUACAGAGCCGGUUGUGAAGGACGUGCUCCUGGGGGACAGUGUUCAUAGCCUACUCAGUAUUCUGGACAUCAGAUGGAGUGGAAAUAUUGACUCGUCCCAAAUGGCACCAUAUUCCCUUUAUAGUGCACUACAUUUGGCCAUAGGGCUGUUGUCAAAAGUAGUGCACUAUAUAGGGAAUUGGCUGUCAUUUUGGAUGAGACUAUAUCUCCGCUUCAUCUGACAUGCCUCACACAGCCUCUGUUCUCCUCUACUCACUACUUCACCCAUCCAUGCAUCUCUCCCUCCUCCCUGUCCUGUCCUUGAUCCAGCCAGCUCUCAGCUCAUCCCUCCCUCCACUGCUAUACCUCUGUUCAUCUUUGCUCCCUCUCUAUUCUUCUCACGCUUAUUUUUCAAUCUGUCUAUUCAUCCCUCUAUCCUCCUCUUAUUAUUUCAGUGUUCCAUCCACAUGAAUCUAUUUCCAUCUUCCUUUACCAGGUUAGGUCACUCUGGUUAACCCUCCUUCGCUCUCUCUCUCUCUUAUUUUCUAUCUCUUCCUUGUGUGAUUGGUUGGUUCCUGUGUUCCUCAGGGUUACUCCACCCCCUAUAAGACGCUGUCAGCACGGGCUGCGUCUUGCUUCACUAUCCUGCGUCUGCAGGAUAGUGAAGCCUUCCAUUCUGUGUUUGAGUAGUACCCCGAAACUCUAAUGCGCGUCAUUCAGGUAUGACCCCAACCCUCAGCCUGGUUCUAAACCCAUUCAAACAAACAGAACUGUUUGGAUGAGACCCCCUAAUGGCAAUGUCUGUGUCUCAAAUUGCACCCUAUUCCCUAUGGGCCCUAGUCGAAAGUAGUGCACUAUGUAGGAAAUAGGGUGCCAUUUGGGAGACACCCAAGGAUGGAAAUUCUGCCUAACCUGAGUUGAAAGUACACCCUGAUUGUUCUGAAGAAUAGUGCUGUUGUGGCUGUAUUACAGCCAUUGUUGUGUAGUGGUGUUUGAUCCACGUUGGUGUGUGUGUCCCAGAUAAUCAUGGUGCAACUCCAGAGAGUGAGCUUCCGGCCCUUAUAUAACUACCUGGGCCUGACCACAGAGCUCUUCAACCCGGUGAUACACACACUUACACAGUAGAGUACACACUCCAGCGAUAUCGUACACACACACAACCUAAUUUCACACACAAUUAAGCCCAGCAUCAUAGCUCUAUCCUCUAUCCCGACAUCUUCCAGAGUCUUAAAGCUCAGUGAAACUGAAUAAUAUGGAUCACGAGCCUCUAUAAAUCAUAUAAAGGACAGUAACUUUUAAACCCACUUGCCACUAAUCUUCCAUCAGUGUUAAAGCUUUAUUGUUCUCCAUCACAGAGCGAGAUUGGAAGUCUUCACUCAGACCCCCUCGACCCAUCUUCUUUAACAGCCACUUUAUUUUACAAUUGAAUUCUGUCGUUCUGAUUUAACUUCCUCUAGUAUUCUUUAUAUAUAUAUAUAUAUAUAUAUAUAUAUAUAUAUAUAUUGUUUUUUCUCCCCAUUGGUAGUUACAGUCUUGUCUCAUCGCUGCAACUUCCGUAUGGACACAACCCAACCCAAACACAACCCAACCAAGCCGCAAUGCUUCUUGACACAAUGCCUACUUAACCCAGAAGCCAGCCGCACCAAUGUGUCAGAGGAAACACCGUACACCUGGCAACUGUGUCAGUGUGCACUGCACCCGGCCCACCACAGGAGUCGCUGGGCCAAUUGUGCGCCGCCCCAUGGAUCUCCCGGUCACGGCCGGCUGCGACAAAGCAUGGACUCAAACCCAGAAUCUCUAGUGGCACAGCUAGCACUGCGAUGCAGUGCCUUAUACCACUGCACCACUUGGGAGGCCCUUACUCUAGUAUUCUUUCCUUCACCCACCUCAUAUUGUAUUCUCUAAUGUUGCUUAAUGCACGAUUAGGUUGAUAUGAUGUAAAAUAGUGCAACAUCUUUGCAUCUUUGAUUGACAGGAGUGUCAGGCGGUCCCCUUUGUGACGGUUACUGGGGUGGUAGGAGAGGGGAGUCUAGUCAGGACCCCCCCCCCCACCUGCACAUACAGAAACCUGCUCCGACACAGACGCUGGGAAAGACAGUCCCUCCAACGCCUCUAGGAAAACUCAUUCUAUCUUUAUGCCCACUGAUGGUACAAGUAGGCUUGUCCACUGCAGAGUACCACAACUUCAUUCCCUUGUGGCUUCACACGCACAGUAUGCCCAUCAAUACCUCUCUCUGCUCAGCAGGGGUGAGAGGGAACGACCUGAACAUGGCAUACGAGCGGGCCAGAGUCACCAUAGACGAACGCCCCUCCAGCCCUGUCAUUUAUAAGUCCAUCCUGAAGAAGAGUGUGACCAUGCAGCACACACCCUUGGCGGCGUUCCACUACACAGACUGUGAGGGAUGCUCUGACAACGUCCACCCCAGCAAGGUCAGCGACAUCGUCCAGAUCUGCUGGGCAUCAUCAAGCUGCAGUUGGAGCAGAUGCUGGAGGGCAGUGCGGUGAGGGCCCAGAAGCAGCUGGUGUUGUUACACAGGGAAGAUGGCCCACCACUCCAGGGCACUGUGGAGUGGCUCAACAUGAGGAGCUGGAUCUCCAGGCACCUGCACCUCUCCUGCCCACACAGGGUCUACUCCAAAAGGAGCCUGCCCAAACUGAUAGAGAUGUACUAGCUUGUGUUCCAAAAGCCAGCUGACCGCCAUUCAGACUUUUCCCGUCUGCCCAGGGUGCUGAUGCCAUCGCCCUCAUAUGGGGGAGGAGGAGCCAGGUACGACCCAAUGACUCCAGGAGAUGUUUCAAGGGAUCCCUGUGGACCUGGUGGGUGGAGUUUCCAUCGGCUCCCUGAUGGGGACGCUGUACGCGGAGGACCACAGCCGCAUGAGAAAGAGGGCACGAGAGUGGGCCAUGUCUUUUUGACGGUGUGUUGCAGGAGAUGACAUAAGAAAAGGUGCUGGACCUGACCUACCCCAUCACUUCUAUGUUCUCUGGCGCCGCCUUCAACUCCAGCAUUUACACAGUGUUCAAGGGCAAGCAGAUUGGUGAGGAAGAGACACCUUCACAGCACAGCUGGAGUUAGUCUUGGGACUAACUGGCAGAGAAAGUGAAUGAAUGUGAGCCUCUCUCACAGCACUGUAUAGGACUACAGCCUCAGAUAUGGCUGCCCUAUGCGUGUUGUGUGCAUCAGUGAAGAGCAGUGACUACUGCGAGUACAUCAGACCGCCCAUAAACCGAUACCGCACACUGGAGUUUGGCAAGUUCGACAAGAUCCCUGGACCUGUGACCUGUCCCAACGCCUCCUUCACUGACCUGGCUGAGAUCGUGUCCCGCAUCGAGCUGGCCAAACCUGCUCUGGUAGACGAGCAGUCCGACUACCACACAGACUAAUAGCAGGAGGCGGUGGGGAGUGCCUACUCAGACAUUGAGCUGUCCAAUCACUACAGCGAACACACCACUAAGUGGGAGGAGACUGCUGACACAGUGCAGUGAAGCUUUGAAUGUUGACGUUUCUUCUUGGUUUAUCUCGGUAUUGCAUCACUUUCCCUCUCCUUUGAGACUAAAGCCUGAGAUCAGCCUUAUGACCUAAUCACUGUAGCUCCACCUCUUCCUCAGGAGGAAGAUCUGCUGGACAGGGGGUGCAGACGUCGCCAUCCUCCCCCAGGCACUAGUGGGGGGAGGGGUAAAAUGUGAACUACAGUGCGUAGGCUGAUGCUAUAUGGUGCUUAUGUACAGGCACAUCCAAGACAGCUGUAAAACACAGCUGAUUUGACUAAUGAAUCAUUAGCCUUUACUUACCUCUAGAACUAGCUUUAUAGAUGUACUCACAUGACAUUAAGCCAAUAAAUGCAGUAUAUUUUUUGAAUGUGUGUUUAUCCAUACAGUGCAGUAUAAAGUAGUGCCUUUAUCACAGCUAAUGUUGAUGCUAGCACCAGAAGCCUUGCAUUGUGUUGUAGUAAAUGGAACAUCGUACAGAUCGUACAGAUCCCAUGUGGUUGUAAGAGUGUGUCCUAAAUAGCACCCUAUUCACUUCAGUGCAUUAUGUAGGGGAUAGGAUGCCACAAGAGACGCAACCUGUCUAAAGUCUAAAUGGAGCAAAGAGGCAGCAUGUGUUGUGUGUGAGCGCAUGUCAGACCCGGAAGGAGGAUGUAUCAUGAAUGUUAUUGUGGCAUUUCUCUAGCCGUUGGCGAAGUUGAUACUGCUGUAGGGUCAAUGUAUGGUCAGCCUCACAGUUCUGGAUAGGGUCCAAUUCAAAGGCACAAUUCAUGUGGUACAAUAAACACAUAUUGAAUGAAUUAGCUAAAUGGAAAGUGCUGUUGGAUAAUGAUUGAUGACUACAGUGAAACAAUGAAAAAGAUAUAUGAAUGUGGUGCCACGUUUUACAAAACGCAUACAUAUAUGCUCAGUGAAUGCAACAACGCUUUUUGUGACUUACUGAAUUAAACUGGACAACUUGACCAUUUCAACAUUUCAAGCUGCUCAAUGGUGCCUUUUAUAUUGACUGACUAUUACAUGCUGAUUAGUUCCAUUUUAAUGUUGAGCACAGUUCGCCAAUCACCCAGUAAAGCAAUGAAGGACUAAGAGUUGCUUCUGUCUGACAAUUUUUACCAGAUAAUGUUUUUGAUAAUAC
rnacentral:lncRNA from 1 species